rnacentral:rRNA from 1 species
GCAUCUAAGCGUGAAGCCCCCCUCAAGAUGAGAUAUCCCUCAUUGAUAAGACCCCUUGAAGACGACAAGGUAGAUAGGGCAUAGGUGUAAGUGCAGUGAUGUACUCAGCUGAAUGCUACUAAUCGGUCGAAGGCUUUUUU